GACUGGGCUCAGUGCAUUGGGGUUUACAGCUAAUUGAUCACAAUCAGUUACAAACUCUUCCAUUCUCACUGCUUUUCUUGACUAGCCCGAA
rnacentral:Y_RNA from 1 species